ensembl:lncRNA
GGGAGGGGUAAGAGGCGAGGGGAGAAGGCUGAGCAGUCGCUCCACCCUGGCCGGGCAUAGAAAAGAGGGAGUUCCCGCACCAAUCCCAGCCCGGCAAGUUAAGGGGCUGCUGCCCUCUCCCACAACAGCUUCUGCACACAGUACUUCCUUCUGUUACCUCCCAUGCUCUUUGGGGAGCCCGUUUUUCCCCUCAAUGUCUCGUCAUCUGUCCGGGGCAUCCCUUCCGCCCGCGCCCGCGCGCGGGCCUCUCGUCUUGCUUCAGGGUCAUGGGCGUGCAUCUCGGAUUCCCCUUCCUCCAGAAUGGAGGCCACUGUUCACUACUCUGGAGUUGCAUUUUUCUCAGAAGCACCUGACAAAGAGCGACCUCAAGGAAAAUCGAAUUAUUUUGGAUUAUGUUACUGUAGGACCUAUUCAAAAUAUGUUUUUUUUUUUUUUUUUUGUCUUUUUAAGGCCACGCCCAUUGCAUAUGGAGGUUCCCAGGCUAGGGGUCCAAUUGGAGCUGCAGUUGCCAACCUACACCACAGCCACAGCAACCCCAGAUCCGAGCUGCAUCUGCAACCUACUCCGCAGCUCACGGCAAGGCGGGAUCCUUUAACCCACCGAGCGAGGCCAGGGAUUGAACCCACAUCUUCAUGGAUCCUAGUUGGGUUCUUAACCCGCUGAGCCACAACAGGAACUCCCAAAAUAUGUUUACUCUUUAAGGUUCCCUUGGCCCCUCACAGCUGGGAAAGUACAGCUGGGAAAGAUCCUACACACGGGACACUUGCCAGCAGAGGAUGGGAAGGGAUAAAGGACAGUCUGGAAUGCAGUUCAUCUCCAGGACACACUUCUAGUGGAGGGCAAGGAGCACUGGCAUCUGUCACAGGGGAAGUCCUGGCUUUCAGGGCAGGUGGGGAGGAUGCUCUGGGGUUACUCAGAACCACGCUUACCACAGUAGCAUCAUUUAAACUUUUAUUAUGAAAAGGUUCAAACAUACCCAAAGGUAGAGAGCACAGUUCUGUGACACCCUAUACCCUUCCUUCAGCAAUAUUGAUUUUGUCCCUUGGUUCCUUCUACUCCUUUCUUUUCUUUCCUUUUUUCAGUAUUAAAUAAUUAUUUAUUAAUUUAUUAUUUAUUUUUUGUCUUUUUGUCUUUUCUAGGGCCACAUCUGCUGCAUAUAGAGGUUCCCAGGCUAGGGGUCAGAUCGGAGCUGUAGCCACCGGACUACGCCACAGCCGCAGCGACAUGGGAUCCGAGCCACGUCUGCAACCUACACCACAGCCCACGGCAACGCUGGAUCCUUAACCCACUGAGCAAGGCCAGGGAUCAAACCUGCAACCUCAUUGUUCCUCGUUGGAUUUGUUAACCUCUGCGCCACCACGGAAACUCCAAUAAUUUUUUAUUUAUUAAAUAAUGUAUUAAAAUUAACUAUAUCAUUUCACUCCAUGCUUCAGUACGCAGUUCUCGGAAAUAAGGACCCUUUCUUGCAUCAUCUCAAAGCCGUUUUUACAUUUAACAAAAUCGACACUGAUUCGUUGGCAUCGCAAGUACCCAGUUCAAAAUUAAAUGUUAGCAACCGUCUAAAAAUGUCUUUUUUUCCAAUUGGGUGGUCCCAAUCAGGAACCAGACAAGCCCCACCUGUCCCAUGUCGUAGCUGUCUUCUUAUGUCACUUCUCACUUUUCC